UGGCGGACGGGUGAGUAAUGUCUGGGAAACUGCGUGAUGGAGGGGGAUAACUACUGGAAACGGUAGCUAAUACCGCAUAACGUCGCAAGACCAAAGAGGGGGACCUUCGGGCCUCUUGCCAUCGGAUGUGCCCAGAUGGGAUUAGCUAGUAGGUGGGGUAACGGCUCACCUAGGCGACGAUCCCUAGCUGGUCUGAGAGGAUGACCAGCCACACUGGAACUGAGACACGGUCCAGACUCCUACGGGAGGCAGCAGUGGGGAAUAUUGCACAAUGGGCGCAAGCCUGAUGCAGCCAUGCCGCGUGUAUGAAGAAGGCCUUCGGGUUGUAAAGUACUUUCAGCGGGGAGGAAGGGAGUAAAGUUAAUACCUUUGCUCAUUGACGUUACCCGCAGAAGAAGCACCGGCUAACUCCGUGCCAGCAGCCGCGGUAAUACGGAGGGUGCAAGCGUUAAUCGGAAUUACUGGGCGUAAAGCGCACGCAGGCGGUCUGUCAAGUCGGAUGUGAAAUCCCCGGGCUCAACCUGGGAACUGCAUUCGAAACUGGCAGGCUAGAGUCUUGUAGAGGGGGGUAGAAUUCCAGGUGUAGCGGUGAAAUGCGUAGAGAUCUGGAGGNAAUNACCGGUGGCGAAGGCGGCCCCCUGGACAAAGACUGACGCUCAGGUGCGAAAGCGUGGGGAGCAAACAGGAUUAGAUACCCUGGUAGUCCACGCCGUAAACGGUNUCNACUUGGAGGUUGUGCCCUUGAGGCGUGGCUUCCGGAGCUAACGCGUUAAGUCGACCGCCUGGGGANNGNUACGGCCGCAAGGUUAAAACUCAAAUGAAUUGACGGGGGCCCGCACAAGCGGUGGAGCAUGUGGUUUAAUUCGACGCAACGCGAAGAACCUUACCUACUCUUGACAUCCAGAGAAGACUGCAGAGAUGCGGUUGUGCCUUCGGGAACUCUGAGACAGGUGCUGCAUGGCUGUCGUCAGCUCGUGUUGUGAAAUGUUGGGUUAAGUCCCGCAACGAGCGCAACCCUUGCUAUUAGUUGCUACGAAAGGGCACUCUAAUGGGACUGCCGGUGACAAACCGGAGGAA
rnacentral:rRNA from 1 species